CGGCCGCCCGGACGCACUCACCCCGCUCGGCGCGGUCGCGGGCUCGUCCCUGCGGAGUCUCGGCCCGGCCCCGCCGCCUCCGCCGGAAGAAACCUCUCCGACUCGGGCAGCCCGCCUGGUUCCUCAGCCCUGCCGCGGCGCCCCCGCUCCUCCCCGGCUCGCCUGUGUCCUCAGGGCCCGGGACUGGACUCGGGGGCGGCGGCGCGGAUCCCCGCCCCGGGCUCCUCGCCCACCGUCCGCAGCAGCCGAGCGCAUUCGGGGGCGGGAACCGGCCGA
rnacentral:lncRNA from 1 species